UUUUAUGAAAAACGCUUCAAAUCAUCUAUAAUAGGAACCAGGAUGGAAUACUAUCAACAUCACUAAGCUAUUGGUGCUAUUGAUUUUUUAAUCCUUGGAUUGAGAAAUGGAUGGUUAAAAUGAUAUGAGCUCUCUAGAGUUGAGUGAGUGGUUGGUUGAAUAGUAUAAUUUAACUGGUAAAAAUAAUCAAAGGAUUAAAUCUAACAGUAGAAAACUCGUUAGCACUAAAUUCUUGGUGCUAUAUCAAUAGUACCCGAGCCGGACUCCUAUAAUAAUAUUAUAUUAUUCUUCUAUAUUAUUAAUAUAUAUAUUACUUAUCUUAUAUAUUAUUUUUAAACUAGAUGUACUAAUAUAUCAUCAACAUAUAUAUAUAUAUAUACGGGCAAAAUUGUGCAGGAUCUACAGCAAUACUCUUCUUAUGAACUAGGCUGGAAUACUAUUAAUAGCACCAAUGACUUGGUGCUAUUAAGUUUUCUGCCCUUGGAUUAAAAGAUGUGCGGUUAGGAUGAUGUGGGCCCUCUAGAGUUGAGUGAGUGGUUGGUUGAAUAGUAUAAUUUAACGGAUAAAAAUAAUCAAAGGGUUAAUCUAACGGCAGAAAACUUGAUAGCACCAAGUGCUUGGUGCUAUCGAUAGCACAGCAGCCGGACUCCUCUUCUUUUAUAUAUAU
rnacentral:lncRNA from 1 species